rnacentral:rRNA from 1 species
AGAGUUUGAUCAUGGCUCAGAUUGAACGCUGGCGGUAUGCUUAACACAUGCAAGUCGAACGAGUAGCUACUUCGGUAGCGAGAGUGGCGGACGGGUGAGUAACGCGUAGGAAUCUGCCUGUUAGUGGGGGACAACGUGGGGAAACUCACGCUAAUACCGCAUACGCCCUAUGGGGGAAAGGAGGGGACGCUGGUUCUUCGGAAUGAGCGCCUUUCGCUAACAGAUGAGCCUGCGUGGGAUUAGCUAGUUGGUAGGGUAAAGGCCUACCAAGGCGACGAUCCCUAGCUGGUCUGAGAGGACGAUCAGUCACACUGGAACUGAGACACGGUCCAGACUCCUACGGGAGGCAGCAGUGGGGAAUAUUGGACAAUGGGCGAAAGCCUGAUCCAGCCAUGCCGCGUGUGUGAAGAAGGUCUUCGGAUUGUAAAGCACUUUAAGUUGGGAGGAAGGGUUGUAGAUUAAUACUCUGCAAUUUUGACGUUACCGACAGAAUAAGCACCGGCUAACUCUGUGCCAGCAGCCGCGGUAAUACAGAGGGUGCAAGCGUUAAUCGGAAUUACUGGGCGUAAAGCGCGCGUAGGUGGUUUGUUAAGUUGGAUGUGAAAGCCCCGGGCUCAACCUGGGAACUGCAUUCAAAACUGACAAGCUAGAGUAUGGUAGAGGGUGGUGGAAUUUCCUGUGUAGCGGUGAAAUGCGUAGAUAUAGGAAGGAACACCAGUGGCGAAGGCGACCACCUGGACUGAUACUGACACUGAGGUGCGAAAGCGUGGGGAGCAAACAGGAUUAGAUACCCUGGUAGUCC